rnacentral:rRNA from 1 species
UUCCAAAUUAUUGUUAAGUGAAAAUAAGGUAGUGUUCAUCCAAGCCAACCAGGAAAUGGGCUUAGGAGCGGCCAUUUUUUAAAGACCUCGUAACAGAGCACUGGUUUUAUACAAUUUUGUUGUAUUGUUAGAUGCACCUAAAAUUUAACGGAUCUAAAUAAUAUACCGAGACCUUGUCCAUAAAUAUUUAUAUGUACAAGUUACAUAUAAUAUUUAUGGGGUAGCGGAACAUUGGGCAUAUCUCAGAUUUUUUCUUUUUAAGACUUAAGAUUAGAUGACCCAAGUGAUAAUGCUGACAUGAGUAACGAUAAAGGGUUUAUACCCUCGCCUAAAGCUUAUGGAAUUUACUUAAAGUAACGGCCUCUAAGUUUAAAUUUGCUAUAGUUUAUACAAACAACACUUGAUACCUAACUCUAACAGACGAUACAAGUGCAAAAUAGUAAAAACCUAAUGGUAUAAACGAUGAGAAAAAGCUAAGUUUUACAGGUAUAAAUAGCAUGAGUGUUGCAAGUAAGUAUUAUAUAUAUAACGGAUUUUUUUUUUAUUAAUUAUUUUUAUGCGUUAUUGUCCGUUGCACUCUUUUUGGGGCGUGGAUCCAUCCAUGCCCAACGCCGACGCAUACCAGCCAUUCCACCUAUACCCAGAGCAACCAAUACCCCAAGAGAGUGCAAGGGAUAAGAAGUAAAUUAAAGAAUUAAUAGAAACUAGAAAAAUUAUAGAUUUAAUAGUUAUUUUGUGCUAAAGUGACAAAUGCUCUGGAAAAAUGUAAAACUACUGACGUGUUAGAGAGUUGGCGAGGUUCAACCCCUGUCCAUUAAUAUG